rnacentral:rRNA from 1 species
UACGAGUGCCCCAAGCGUUAUCCGGAAUCAUUGGGCGUAAAGGGUGUGUAGGUGGUCUUGUUAGUCUCCUGUAAAAUUCUUCGGCUUAACCGGGGGCGCGCGGGAGAAACGGCAAGACUUGAGAGUGCGAGGGGUGAAUGGAACUCAUGGAGUAGGGGUGAAAUCCGUUGAUAUCAUGGGGAACACCAAAAGCGAAGGCAAUUCACUGGCGCAUUUCUGACACUGAAACACGAAAGCGUGGGUAGCGAAUGGG